rnacentral:rRNA from 1 species
GAUGAACGUUGGCGGCGUGCCUAAUACAUGCAAGUCGAACGGAGAUUGUAGCAAUACGGUCUCAGUGGCGAACGGGUGAGUAACGCGUUGGUGACCUGCCCCGAAGUGUGGAAUAACAGAUCGAAAGAGCUGCUAAUACCGCAUAAUAUCCAGGAGAUUAGAUGCUUCUGGAUUAAAGGAUUUAUCCGCUUCGGGAGGGGCCUGCGUCCCAUCAGCUAGUUGGUAAGGUAAAGGCUUACCAAGGCGAUGACGGGUAGGGGACCUGAGAGGGUGGCCCCCCACAAUGGAACUGAAACACGGUCCAUACACCUACGGGUGGCAGCAGUAGGGAAUAUUAGUAAUGGGCGAAAGCCUGAACUAGCAACGCCGCGUGUGCGAAGAAGGCCUUCGGUUGUAAAGCACUUUUGUAGAGGAUGAGGAAGGACGGUACGUCUCAGAAUAAGUCUCGGCUAACUACGUGCCAGCAGCCGCGGUAAACGUAAGCGUG